GGUUGUGUAGUGUAGCGGUUAUCACAGUGGAUUUUGACACGUCAGAUCUUCCAUUAACCCCGGUUCGAAUCCGGGCACGACCU